UAUUUUGUCUGGGAUAGAUUCUUAUCUAAUUGUGGAUCCAUACCUGAUUGCUUAGAAUCACCCGUUAUUGUAGGCCUGAUUGCAUCAUUCUCCUCGGGUUGGAAAGAACUCGUCUUCGAGUUAUGUUCCUUAUCUAAAU
rfam:Populus trichocarpa isolate Nisqually-1 chromosome 18, whole genome shotgun sequence.